GUUUCCUAAAAUUAUAAAGGAAGUGUCUGAUUAGUCAUUUACUCAUUACAAAACUAUUUUACAAAUUGCAUUGCUAUUCUAUAUUCUACCCAGAAGUAAACUCAAUUAAAUUGAAUGGGAUUUAUUCAGAUACAUGAGCAAGCAGAUGGCACUCCACUCUGCCAGGCGAGAUCUGAAGCAUGUCUCCUGAUGGAUCUCAUAGAAUGGAUACAAACAAUUACGUAGAGACUGACAACUAUCAGGAACUCCUUAAAUCAGUUGUGCCUUUUUGGGGGGAUCAUGACACUGUCCUUUACAGCUACAGUGGGAUUCCAGGAAAACAUGUGUUUGAAGAAGAUGCUUCCAUACAGCAAGGUAGUCCUUUCCCAUUAAACCUAUAGUCCAACUAAUUAUGAAUGUUGGGUAUCAGUUACACAACAAAAGGACUGGUUGUCUGAGAUACCACCUCUCUCCCAUUUUUGCACAUCUGGUAUGUGGGUGCUUAUUAAAUGUUGCCAUCUUGUGGGACCAAAAACACGAGACUUCUCUGUUGCGUUCCACACACUCUGGAACAGCAUCUCCCUCAAGGAAUCAGGAUGGACCCCACUCCCCUGGAGUUCUUGGAAGUCUUUAAAUCCUGGUUCUCAAACUCGGAGCUAUGCUGUUAGGGGUGGACCUAGAAUGUCAUGUGCCUGGAUUUAGUUCAGGCUCUCUUGCCUUGUCCAUGUUGUUUUAACUAUGUAUUAGAUUUUGUAAUCUGCCCAGGGUCUAUUAGAAUGGACAGCCACAACAAACUGAAAUAAAUGGAUAAACUCUUAAACCUCCUAGGUGCUGUUUUUUAAACUUCAAAGCAUCUGACUUAUUUAUAAGGCCCCAGUUUAUAAAUAAGUCAUUUUAAUUGAAAAGCAUUUUAUUAAAUACAACUAAGGUGAACCAAGUGCCCUCAGUUCAUACUUGCUACACAAAUAGUAGAAGUUGCUUUAUUUAGGGUUCUAGGGUGAGAUUUCCUUUUUAUCACAAGUGAAAACUUAGAAGGGAAGCUAUAAAGAAAAGAAGAGAGAAAAGGGGGAUGAGAUUAGCAAUAAAAAUUUGAAAGUCAGAUGACCAGUUAGUAUCCCUAUCCUUUCUCAAAGCCUGUAUAAAAAAAAUUGCACUGAUCCCCAAACUUCUAACAGCUAAAUUGAAUUAUUCUACUUGAAAAAAAUCCAAAAUAAUUUUAGUGACUCCACUGCUAAAGGAGUUAUAUGAAAAUUGUAAAUAUUCCAUUUACAUUAACAAUAUCGUUGUAAUUUCAUUGAGUUUAAUGAUGCAUUUCAUUUCCUUUUAAAGUAGUAGAGCAAAAAUUGUAUCUCUGAUACCCCAGUAAGCUGAAAGAUAAGCAUUUUUCCCCAGGAAGAGUGGGUCUCCUAGUUUUUUUCAAUAAAUUAAAAAUAUUUGCAGAAUGUGCAGAAUCAAGUCCUAAACGUCUUGGAGUUUAUAGGGAAUAUUAGAUUACAAUAAUCUUUGGCAAAACCAGAAGACUCAGUGUUAUAAUAAAAUAGGACAAUAAAAAGUAAUUCACAGAAGAGGCAAGCAUUUGGUAGAAGCUAGAUAUCUGUUUGUUCCAGGAGACAGAAACAUAUAUUGUUCUAUCCCAUAUAUUUCAUUUUGCCACUCUGCAGAUUUAAGGAGAAAAUCCAACUGUAUAUCAGUUUCUUUAAAUUUAGUGAAGAGAUCCAACAGAUCAUUUUGUUCUAUGAUGAACUGCUAAUGCUGAACUGCUGUGUUUCUUUUGGGGGGAGGGGAGAAGAACAGGUUUUUUUUAUUAUUAAACUCAACUAUUGUAAUAAAACUAAAAUAUAUUAGACAAUUUCCAGAGAAGGAAGAUUUAACACUGUUAACAGCCUUAUCUAAUAGAUUUUAUUUUCUAUCUAACAGAAAAAUGUAGCAUUAAAACACUGGUGUUUUUACUGCUUUAUUACUGUACUGUUUCUCCACAGGUGAAUAAUUUUUCUAGAUCAAUAUGAACGGAAGCCUCCAUAAAAUAACCUUUUUUUUCAGAAACAAUGCUUUGUUUUUAUGAAAAAAAGAGCACAAUCUUUAUGCAUAUUAAACCUAAAGCUGUGAGAAUAUUUUUCAUCAUGAAGUAUGAAAUAUUUUCUUGUUUUAUUUGGCUUUAUAACUUUUUUGUUUGUUCAGACUAGAUCAAAUACAGACAUAUCACCAAGAGAUGUAUUUGUAAAUGAAUUUUACUAGCUCUUAUCAAUUCAUCUUUCAACAGUCUCUUUUACUUCAUUAAUAUUCAAAACCCAUCUCAUCAUCAUAUAUUUUCUAUGUUUGAACAUUUAGCUUCAGAAAAUUCAGUGGGAUUUGCUUCUAAAUAAACAUGCUGCAAAUAUACAAUGUUUUUCUUUAAGCAACAAAUAAGUUCCACUAAUUGAAUCCGCCUUUAACACAACAUUCCAAGUUUUGGCAUGUCAAUUAUCAAUAAGUCUUGCGUUUACACAUUCCUCUCUUCCUCAUACAUCCCAAUUCAUUCAGGUUCUUCUUCUUUAGUGCAAACAAUAGGCUGUCAUCACAUCUAACCAGCAAGCCAAUUUGUCAAUAAGUCCUGGGACAGCAGUACGCAAGAACAAAGAAGACCAAAGAUCAUGCAGUUUGGCACUGUAACUCAGAAUUCUGACUGGCAAACCUGAUUCUUCCACUUAAUUCUCACAAUGGAGCAGAUCUGGAAGACGUGAGGAGUGAAAUGAAGGCACACUUAUAUAAAUCAAAUUCUGGAUGUUAUACAGAAGUAUUGCUUGGCUGAAAUAAGAUACAUUGUAGAAUUUUUUUUUAGUCCUAGAUUUUACCUUUAAACAUUCGUCAUCUGUCAGCAAUGCAGCCUGCUUCUCUACUUCCUGGCUUUCAACAAACCUGAACAGAGGAAAAGAAAAAGUUAAUUUCAAACCUGGAUAUUAACUAGGUUAAUUUCCAACUCCUUAAUAAUAAUUCUAAUCUGAAUCAUAUGACGAGGAAGCAAGUUAGACAGGAGAAAUCAGAGAUAUCCUUCUGAACUUCUGACUAGAAAUAUAGCGGGUUUUCCUUUUUUGCAGUUCCUCACCAGAUUCAACUCAAUUCCAAAAACAAUAUUUUUUAUGUCAGCUUCUCCAGCAUUCCAAACCCUUCGAAAGUAUCAGAUGCUCCAGAAUACAGCAGCACAUACAGUGUUGGGUUCUCCCAAGUGACAUCACAAUUGUAAGUGCCAGCUGCUAGUAGGCUUCCAAAUACAAUUCAAGAUCCUCGUUAUCGCCCUUAAAGCCCUAAAGAGCACAGAGUCACAUUUCCACUAGAUUUGACAGGAUGGGCAUGUUCUGGGUCCCUCUUAUGGAGCAGCAUCAUCUAGGAGCCCAGGAAACAUGCCUCUCUGUUGUGGCACUUGUCCUAUAUAAUAACCUGCUCCGAGGUCUAAAUGGUCUUCUGGAGGCUCAUGAAGACAUGGUUUUUUCCCCUCUAAGCAUUAAGGCCUGGAUGUUAGGAGAAGCAAAAUGUGUCUUUUUGUAUGUUGGUUAUUGUUAUUGUGAUUACACUGUACCUCAGCUAUUGUAUUAUUAUUGUUUUUAAUGCUAUAGUUUGUCUUGGUUUAUGUUGGUUUUAUAAUGUUUUUACAUGUACAGUAUUUUGUUGGUUGACCAGAAUUAUUCAUUUAAGAUGAGUGGCCAUAUAUAUUUUUUAAUAAAUUAAUAAAAUAAUAUGAAGAUGA